rnacentral:rRNA from 1 species
GACGAACGCUGGCGGCGUGCCUAACACAUGCAAGUCGAACGAGGUCCAAGGAAGCUUGCUUCCUGACGACCUAGUGGCGAACGGGUGAGUAACACGCGAGACACCUGCCUCGGAGUGGGGAAUAACUCGGGGAAACUCGAGCUACUACCGCAUGUCUUCACAUGAUCGCACGGGCGAGUGUAGCAAGAAUUUGGCUAUGAGAGGGUCUCGCGGCAUAUCAGCUUGUUGGUGGGGUAACGGCCCGACAAGGCAACGACGGGUAGCUGGUUUGAGAGAUCGAUCAGCCACACUGGGACUGAGACACGGCCCAGACUCCUACGGGAGGCAGCAGUGGGGAAUCUUGCGCAAUGGGCGAAAGCCUGACGCAGCAACGCCGCGUGCGGGAUGACGGCCUUCGUGGUUGUAAACCGCUUGCAGCAGGGACGAAAAUGACGGUACCUGCAGAAGAAGCCCCGGCUAACUACGUGCCAGCAGCCGCCGUAA